GAACUUCUCCUUUUGAGAACAUGUGUACUUUGAUUUUACCGGUCCUCAAACUGACCCUUUGCUCAUUAUAAUAGUAAAAACACACCCCUGGGUGGAGAUUU